GAUAUAGAUGAGCCUGUCCCUAGCAGGGCAGGCCCGGCUUCAUCUGUCAACUUGAUUACGCAAAGCCUCUCUCUUCAGCUGGCAUCCGAGGUGGAUUUCAAAGCCAUGACUCAUGUGCGCUUCCAGGCGCAGGACCGGGGAGCAAGCUCCAGCAAUGAGCCCUCCACACAGGUUUCCCUUCUGGAGAGAAGGUUUCCUCCAAGUCCCUGGGUGGCUAAAGGAUUCGGAAGGCUCUCUGAGUACACACACGGGCAGACACACAACCACGCGGCAGACAGUUCUGCCCACCUGAAGCAGCUUUCCUGUGAGCGAUGUUCCAGGGUCCUGUCUCUCGAAUCCAAAGAACACAUCUGCAACAGCUCAGACAACUGGGAUUCAGUGGAUAAAUGUGCAAAGAUGUGGGAUGCAGGUUUUCAUCAAUACAGUGAAGAAAGUUACAUGUUUGGGACUUCCCUGGUGGUCCAAUGGCUGAGACUACGCACUGGACUUGUCGACCUUAAAAAGAUGCACAAUGAAGCCCUUCGUGGGAGGAGCAGUGAGAGGCGUGGCUCAGUACAGGAAUAACACCAAGCAGAGGUCCAGUCCGCAUGGCACACUCAAGGAGGCGCCUCUUCCCAAACCACUCCUUGAAAAGAUUCCUGUAAUCUUGGGAAAUAUAUCCAGGAUCAUAGCUCAAACAGGCUUUGAUCCGUCAUUUGGGAGAUUGUAAAAAUCCAGAGGCCAAAGCCCCAUUGCCGGAGACAAAGAUUUCACUGGGUCUGGAGCAGGGCCCAGGCCUCUGGAUGCUUUAAGAGCAUCCCAGGAGAUACUAAUAUAACCACACCCCAUGUCUUGUGGGCCAUUUUCUGCCAGAGCCUGUGGUUAGAAGCCCUCUGUGAUAAAUGAGGGGUGGGACUUUGGCCGUCUCAAAAGAUGGAUCAGGGUGGGGGGACCGCCCCAUGCAUGCUGGGCAGUCAGUGACAGCAAAUGUGCUUCCGGAAGGUUUGCAGACCCUAUAUCUGAGCCACGUGGACGAAUCGCCAGCUGAACUUGAUCAGAAGCACAAAGAUCUGGAGGUCUGAAGCUUCCAGUCUCAGCGUUUCUCAGCUAUUGAGUUUUAAGUCUUACUGGGUCUAAAAUUGUGCUCCUUGGAGCAGGGAACAUAGGAGGUCUCCAGCCUAAAUCAAUGAUGACUCCCAUGCACCACCCCCUCCAAAUCCUGCCCAGGCCUUAAGGCCCAAUUCUAAUCUCCCUCUUCCAAGAAACCUUGUCUAAUUCCUAUAGAAUUGAAUUACAAGCACAUCAUUACCCCAGCAGCUGAGACUACAAACUCCAGGAUCACUCAGCAAGGUCAGGUCACAGCCUGGCUUUGGACAGGCCUGGGUUGGCGGACACAGUUUCCCAAUACUCCAUCCACCCUUUGUAAAAUGGACCUACAGACCUGAUGAGCCUGGUCCAUGGUGGGCAGUGAUAAGGACAAGAGGGGGAACACUGCUGAAAUCCAAUUAAAUUCUGGUUUUCAGUUAAUAGUAAUAAUGUAAUGUGCUCAGUCAUGGCCAGUUCUUUGCUACCUUAUGGACUGUAGCCCACCAGGCUCCUCUGUCCAUGGGAUUUUUCAGGCAAGAAUACUGGAGUAGGUUGCCAUUUUCUCCUCCAGGGGAUCUUCCUGAUCCAGGGAUCGAACCUGUGUCUCCUUGUGUUAGCAGGCAGAUUCUUUACCACUGAGCCACCUGGGAAGCCCCUAUAAUGGAAAAGAAACUGAAAACUUCAUAUAUAUAACCGAGGGCUUUCCAGGUGGGGCUAGUGAUAAAGAAACUGCCUGCUAAUACAGGAGAUGCGAGACACAUGGAUUCAAGCCCUGGGUCGGGAAGAUCUCCUGGAGAAGGGCAUGGCAACCCACUCCAGUAUUCUGGCCUGGAGAAUCCCAUGGACAGAGGAGCCCGGGAAGCUACAAUCCAUGGGUCAAAAAGAGUCAGACAUCACUAUAGCAACUUAGCACUCACGCAUGCAUGAAUAACUGAAUCACUUUGCUAUAUACAUAAAACGCAACACUGCAAAUCAACUAUACUUCGAUACAAAAUGUACUGAUGGUUAAAACACAUUAGGUAAAAAUGUGAGGUUGUAUGUAAUCUACAAUAUUUAUCUCAAACUCAAGGCAUGUAUUUAAGGAUGUAUCAGUAUUUGUAGGGAAACACAGUGAAUGACCU
rnacentral:lncRNA from 1 species